rnacentral:rRNA from 1 species
AAUCAAGUGGAGGACAAGUCUGGUGCCAGCACCCGCGGUAAUUCCAGCUCCACUAGCGUAUAUUAAAGUUGUUGCAGUUAAAAAGCUCGUAGUUGAACCUCUGUCUGGGGCUAGUUUUGGCUUUGGUCAGGCUAGUUCUAGGCAUCCGCCUACAAGACUUAGAGGGCAUUCAGUUGUUCACUAGGAGGAGUAGCAUUUUACUUUGAAAAAAUAGAGUGUUUAAGGCAGGCAAUCGCCCGCAUAUAUUAGCAUGGAAUAAUAGAAUAGGACACUUUUCCAUUUCGUUGGUUAUUGGAAUCGUGUAAUGAUUAAUAGGGACAGUUGUGGGCAUUUGUAUUUAAUUGUCAGAGGUGAAAUUCUUGGAUUUAUUAAAGACAAACUAACGCGAAAGCAUUUGCCAAGGAUGUUUUCAUUAAUCAAGAACGAAAGUUAGGGGAUCAAAGACGAUCAGAUACCGUCCUAGUCUUAACUAUAAACUAUUCCGACUCAAUGUUUGACUGGCUUAUAUAACCAGUUGAGCGUUGUAUGAGAAAUCAAAGUCUUUAGGUUCUGGGGGGAGUAUGGUUGCAAAGCUGAAACUUAAAGGAAUUGACGGAAGAGCACAACCAGGAGUGGAUUCUGCGGCUUAAUUUGGCUCAACACGGGGAAACUUACCAGGUUAAAACAAUAGUGGGAUUGACAGUUUGAGAGCGCUUUCUUGAUUGGUUGGGUGGUGGUGCAUGGCCGUUCUUAGUUGGUGGAGUGAUUUGUCUGCUUAAUUGCGUUAACGAACGAGACCUUAACCUGCUUACUAGACUGGCGAUCAUCAAUCGUUAGCUCUUCUUAGAGGGACUUUGGUUGUUUUAACUCCAAGGAAGUUUGAGGCAAUAACAGGUCUGUGAUGCCCUUAGAUAUCCUGGGCCGCACGCGUCAUACAAUGACUAGUUCAGAAAGUUUUCUCCUGACCCGAAAGGGGAUGGGUAAUCUUGAUAAUACUAGUCGUGUUAGGGAUCGAUCUUUGCAAUUAUAGAUCUUGAACGAGGAAUUCCUAGUAAGUGCGGUUCAUCAGACCGUACUGAUUACGUCCCUGCUCUUUGUACACACCGCCCGUCGCUUCUACCGAGUGGGUGGUCCGGUGAGAUAAUUGAACUUCGCAGGUAACUGAGAGGAAAGAUUAUCAAACCUAUCCACCU